CACUUUUAUUCUCUGAUCCAGAUUGAUAUUCUCCUUCAAGUCCGGAUCGAUCUAGGUCUACUACGACACAAAUCGCUCAUCCAAUCUCCCCUCGCUGAGCAGGAAGGCUGGAAGGCGGCGACGACCCAGGUAGCGGCGGGAAGGCGGAGACGGACAGGGGAACGGCGGCUUUGCGUGCAGCGAAGAAGGGAGAAGCAGCAAGGCCGCGGUAGGAAGGCUGCAAGUCGUCUGCUAGCAUCCCCUACUCCUCUGCCCGCCCCUCCAGCCUGCCCGCUGGCGGCGCUCUACUCCUUCGGCUACCCAUCUUCUCCUUCACCGUGUACGACGGCGAGACUAACCUCCGCGGUGUUUGGGAAUAGCUGAACUUUGGCAGCUGCUGCUGGUGUUGUAUCAUGAUGGAAAUUCAGUCGAUCAGCAAUUGAAUUUGACUAUUUGAACAUGCUAGCUGCUGUCGUACAAGAGGUGAAGGGUAGUUAUACUGUUUACUGCUUGUGAUGUACUAUGUGUUCACAAAUUUUACCUAGAUGUAUUAUGUGUUCACAAAUUUACAUUCAUUCUAUGAGACUGUGACGCUGGACACAAUACCACAAUAAAGGUUUGAUGGAUAAAGGAAGUCACCGAUCUGAAAAUGUGGAGCCUAGUUGAAGUGAUGAAUUCAUUACUGUUAUUUUUUAUUUUAUGUCCAUGUACUUUAUAAUUUGAACAAGAAGAUUUGUAGGUGUGACUGCCCUAAAGUGUCCAUACUAGAUCUCAAAUACGUUGGUGUUGGUUGUGCUGUUUCCUAAACAUUCUUACACAUGUUAUUGUCAAAGAAAAAACAUUCUCACACAUGUUCAUAUGUACCUAC